rnacentral:rRNA from 1 species
UACGUAGGUGGCAAGCGUUGUCCGGAAUUAUUGGGCGUAAAGCGCGCGCAGGCGGUCCUUUAAGUCUGAUGUGAAAGCCCACGGCUCAACCGUGGAGGGUCAUUGGAAACUGGGGGACUUGAGUGCAGAAGAGGAAAGCGGAAUUCCACGUGUAGCGGUGAAAUGCGUAGAGAUGUGGAGGAACACCAGUGGCGAAGGCGGCUUUCUGGUCCGGUUCUGACGCUGAGGCGCGAAAGCGUGGGGAGCAAACAGG